rnacentral:rRNA from 1 species
UACGGAGGGGGCUAGCGUUGUUCGGAAUGACUGGGCGUAAAGCGCGCGUAGGCGGGCGGUCAAGUUGGGGGUGAAAUCCCGGGGCUCAACCUCGGAAUGGCCUCCAAUACUGGCUGCCCUAGAGUUCGAGAGAGGUGAGUGGAUUCCGAGUGUAGAGGUGAAAAUUCGUAGAUAUUCGGAGGAACACCAGUGGCGAAGGCGGCU